rnacentral:rRNA from 1 species
UGCAGUCGACGGCAGCACAGAGGAGCUUGCUCCUUGGGUGGCGAGUGGCGGACGGGUGAGGAAUACAUCGGAAUCUACUCUUUCGUGGGGGAUAACGUAGGGAAACUUACGCUAAUACCGCAUACGACCUUCGGGUGAAAGCAGGGGAUCGCAAGACCUUGCGCGAUUGAAUGAGCCGAUGUCGGAUUAGCUAGUUGGCGGGGUAAAGGCCCACCAAGGCGACGAUCCGUAGCUGGUCUGAGAGGAUGAUCAGCCACACUGGAACUGAGACACGGUCCAGACUCCUACGGGAGGCAGCAGUGGGGAAUAUUGGACAAUGGGCGCAAGCCUGAUCCAGCCAUACCGCGUGGGUGAAGAAGGCCUUCGGGUUGU